UACGUAGGGUCGAGCGUUGUCCGGAAUUACUGGGCGUAAAGAGCUCGUAGGUGGUUUGUCGCGUUGUUCGUGAAAACUCACAGCUCAACUGUGGGCGUGCGGGCGAUACGGGCAGACUGGAGUACUGCAGGGGAGACUGGAAUUCCUGGUGUAGCGGUGGAAUGCGCAGAUAUCAGGAGGAACACCGGUGGCGAAGGCGGGUCUCUGGGCAGUAACUGACGCUGGAGGAGCGAAAGCGUGGGGAGCGAACAGG
rnacentral:rRNA from 1 species